rnacentral:lncRNA from 1 species
UUUCGUGUUUUUGAACAGAUGUGCUGCUGGAUGUUUGAACGGUCAGGCUCAUUUGUCAUUUUUUUUCUUUUUCUUUUUUUUGUCACAUUGGGGUUUGACGGUGCGCCAUGGUGGGGAGGGGGAAGCUACCACCACUGUGGUGGAACCCAUUGGCCCAGGCUCAUUUGUCUUUCAUCUCUGUUUAUAUCAUUAUCUUCUAAACUUUUGAUGCAUGAAUUAAUGGAAGAGAAAAACCUCAUGCAAUUUCCAUUCUUGGCGUAAGAAGCACAUGACAUGCCUCCAAAUGCUUAUCUACAUCUUCUCAAGCAUCUUUGUCAAUUCCCCACAGGAAUUCACUAAGACCAAUGCAAGUGCAAGACCAUUCAACACUAACUCCAUCCAACAAGCUAUAAUAAUAGCCUACAUACAUACAUUACAAAGUAGAAUGCUUAAAGCUAACAACUAUUACCAUUUCUUUCAGAUUUCAACAAGGCCUGCAUCCAUUGCAGUAGUUUAUGUAAACAGGGCAUGCCAACCAGAUUUAUACAUGACCA